rnacentral:rRNA from 1 species
UACGUAGGGGGCUAGCGUUGUCCGGAUUUAUUGGGCGUAAAGAGCUCGUAGGCGGUGUGUCGCGUCGGCCGUGAAAACCUGCAGCUUAACUGUGGGCUUGCGGUCGAUACGGGCAUCACUGGAGUUCGGCAGGGGAGACUGGAAUUCCUGGUGUAGCGGUGAAAUGCGCAGAUAUCAGGAAGAACACCCGUGGCGAAGGCGGCUCUCUGGGACGGUACUGACGCUGAGACGCGAAAGCGUGGGGAGCGAACAGG